UCAGCAUCACGUGUGUUUUCCUCACACAUAAACAAUAUUUUAGGCAGAGUUAUUUGCAGUACUCUGGUGUAGACAAUAAACACACAAAGCUAUUUUGUGAAAACGUGCAGCUCUUAAUUUAAAUCUGACUUUUGCUCUUAAAUCUUCAAAAAGAUGUGGAGAAGGACAGGAAAAAUAUGGAUGCUGCUGAGUUCCAGGCACCUCAAGACCUCAUUCUGCAGAUGGUGCUGAGCAGGGUUUGAUGUUGAGCUGCUGCAUCAUGGUCCUCCAUCCAAAUCCACACUGCAACAUUGGUAUGCCCGCUGCCAGUGGCCCAGGCUAAAAGGUGACUUUGAAGAAGAAGAUAAACUUUCCACACUGAUGAUGGAUUCUUUUUUCUGCUAUUUUGAUUAAAAAUGAAGCUGAAAAUCUUUUAAAGCUUUAGAGGCAGA
rnacentral:lncRNA from 1 species